AUCCCCCCUCUUUUACUCUCCCUCUCCCCACUCUUCCCAUUCCCCUUCUCCUUUUCUCUCUCACUCUCCCUCUCCCUCUCCCUCUCCCCCUCCCCCUCCCCC
rnacentral:ribozyme from 1 species